rnacentral:rRNA from 1 species
CCUUGUACACACCGCCCGUCACACCAUGGGAGUUGGCUUUACCCGAAGACGGUGCGCUAACCGCAAGGAGGCAGCCGGCCACGGUAGGGUCAGUGACUGGGUG